GAUGAAGAACGCAGCGAAAUGCGAUAAGUAAUGUGAAUUGCAGAAUUCAGUGAAUCAUCGAAUCUUUGAACGCACAUUGCGCCCGCCAGUAUUCUGGCGGGCAUGCCUGUCUGAGCGUCAUUUCAACCCUCAUGCCCCUAGGGCGUGGUGUUGGGGAUCGGCCAAAGCCCGCGAGGGACGGCCGGCCCCUAAAUCUAGUGGCGGACCCGUCGUGCCUCCUCUGCGAAGUAGUGAUAUUCCGCAUCGGAGAGCGAUGAGCCCCUGCCGUUAAACCCCCAACUUUCCAAGGUUGACCUCAGAUCAGGUAGGAAUACCCGCUGAACUUAAGCAUAUCAAUAAGCGGAGGA
rnacentral:misc_RNA from 1 species